UUUUUAAAGUAAGAUUGUGUUGGGAGAAGCCCCAAGCGCUUCCUGGGCUCAGGUUCUCCGGAGCUCUAGUCCGCACCCUCCCUGAAACCUGGUUACAGCUUCCACCUCGCCCACAGACUCUCCUCUAACCUCUUACUCAGCCAGCAGUCUCUUUGCUCUCAGUCUUGGCUCCAGACAGGGCCAACUGGUGGGACCCCCUGAAACAAGGCAGGAGAAGGCACCGUUGGAUGAGGAGCGUUCCCAGGAUAGGGCCAGGCGCUUUAGGAGACCUGGAGUAAACCCACAAAGCCCCAUCUGUAGGGAAGGCAGACCUUGGGGUUACCUCACAAUGGUAACAAAGAGCCUGGGAGAGUGUGAAGAGAGAACGCCUCCUGCUGUCACUGAAAAAGCCCUGCUGUAGGAGCCCAAAGGGAAGGGCUGAGACCAGCUCUGCCACCGACCAGCAAGUCCCUUUCCAUCUGGGCUUCGGAUUCUCACCCAGGAAACGAAUGGGGGAGGAAAUUCAUCUCUCAUGUCUUCCAGCGCUCUAAGCUCCUGGAGCUCAGGGACCACACUGCCUGGAGCUGGUGGGUUCCUAGCACCCAGCAGAGCACCCAGAGCCUGGCUACUCCCUCAGUGUUUGCAGCAAGAAGGAAGAAGGGAAGAACAGACUGUUGGAGCAACUGCGAGGACUCUCUGUGUGAGUGG
rnacentral:lncRNA from 1 species